UACGUAGGGGCUAGCGUUAUCCGGAAUUACUGGGCGUAAAGGGUGCGUAGGUGGUUUCUUAAGUCAGAGGUGAAAGGCUACGGCUCAACCGCAGUAAGCCUUUGAAACUGGGAAACUUGAGUGCAGGAGAGGAGAGUGGAAUUCCUAGUGUAGCGGUGAAAUGCGUAGAUAUUAGGAGGAACACCAGUUGCGAAGGCGGCUCUCUGGACUGUAACUGACACUGAGGCACGAAAGCGUGGGGAGCAAACAGGAUUAGAUACCCAGGUAGUCCCUGA
rnacentral:rRNA from 1 species